CGAUAUUUCUUCUCCUCUUGUAAGCUCUCGAUCAAUGAAGGUGUAGAUGCCCUUAUCACACAAGGCCUUGUACAAAUGAUCUGUAAAAUUGGUAAGGAACCUUCAAGGCAACUUCUCGUCUUUUUUUCCCAGAUGUGUUUUCUUUCAAUACAUGAUGGAACGUCUACUUUUUGACUAAGUCCAGAGAUAAAGGCCCACAUCAUUGUUAGGUAGCCUGUUAUGGACCUGAAAUUAAUACCUUCGGUCCAUCGACGCGCCCAGCCCAUUAUCAAAUAAACGGGCCAAAGCAAUGCAUUCGGCCCAAACAUUGGAGGCCUGGAAGCAGUCAAAGUCAAGAGGAGACUUGGGCCUCGAAGAAACUCAAAUUGGGCUUGAAACAAAACUGGACUCAACUGGUUUUAAAUUAAAAGAAAAGGGACAGACUGACGUGAUCCUCUGUUCUAAAGAAAAGUCAACAAUUUCAACUGGAAUUAAUAAGGGAAGAACAGGGGCAGAUAUAAAGAAGAACGUCUCUGAAAAAUCUCUGCUGCCAAGAGAUCAAGUUCCGUUUUGUUUAUUCAAAGAUAUUUUUCUGCUCCAAAGAGGGCACCAUUUUCAAGGGAUAAGCAGACUCUGUUUUUAUGAAAAGGAGAUAAGCGAGAAACAUGGAGUUGCUCAAAAACUGAGAACUUACCAUCACAAGCUUCAGACUCUUGCAAAAGCAGUUGAAUUGAAAGAAGGGUAUGGAACCCCAUCAAAAUACAGGGAAAUGAUCACUUCAGGAACUGAUUGUUGAGUGCUUACUUGCCAGAGAAUGGAUAGAACUCCUUUUCUUUUUCUUUUUUAAACUAAAAGAUCUUUUAACA